UUAACUCAAGGUGUGUAGAAUUAACUUACCUUCAAGUUGCUAGUUGAAAUCCUCUCUCAAAAAGCUCCAAAAUCGCCCAAGAAUGGAAGAAAUGGGGUUAAAAAUGGUGAAAUCCCGUUUUUAAGACAUUCUGUCCGGUAUAGUGAAUCCCUUCUUCACAAACGCGGUCAAUGCUUCGCGUUCGCGAAGGCAAAAUUUCACAACCUUAAAAUUACCCUUCGCGGAUGCGACAGGGGUCUCGCGAACGCGAACGUUUACUGGCCUGCCCUUCGCGAACGCGUAGGGAAAAAUCCACGCCAGUCCCAUUCCUCUUUCGCGAACGCGAGUCUACCAUCGUGAAUGCGUAGGCUAUAACUCCUGGGCUUCGCGAACGCGUCACCCUCCACGCAAACACGAGGGUCCUUCCGCAUUCGCGAAGAAGGAAACCAGAACUAGAAGUUUCUGGUUUUUCCAACUUAGUUCCGGGUGAUUCAAAACUCAUCUGAGCCUCCCAGGACCCCGUCCAAAUGCACCAACAAGUCUGAAAAUAUAACACGGACUUGUUCGAACUCUCAAAAUACGCAAAUCAAUAAUGAAACUAAGAAUCGCACCCUAAAACCGAAUUGGAUCAAAAUAUGAACUUCAAGUUUCUAACUUCCUCCGAAAGCGCCGAAUCAUACUUAUACUACCCGGAAUGACACCAAAUUUUGCGUGCAAGUCUUAAAUCACCAUACGAAACUAUUCCCAAAUUUAAAAUUUCAAACGGACCUCGUUUACUCCAAAACCUACUCCAAACCAAAUUUAAAAAACAUUAAACCUUCAAAUAGUUGAUUUUUACUAUUAAGCGCCGAAAUGCUCCCGGAUUGUCCAAAACCCGAUCUGAACAUACGCCCAAGUCCAAAAUCAUCAUACGAACCUAUUGGAACCGUCAAAUCCUAAUUCCGGGGUCAUUUUUUAAAAACGUUAACCGAAGUCAAACUUGGCAUUUUAAAGCCAAUUUAAAGAACUAAGUGUUCCGUUUUCAACCCGAACACUUUCAAAUCUCGAACCAACCAUCCUCGCAAGUCAUAAAUCAGUAAAAGCACAUUCGGUGAGUUUUAUUUAAGAAAACGGAGUUCUAAAAAUUAAAAUGACCGAUUGGGACAUCACAUUAAAAUCGAUACCUAUUUGAAUGAUCGAAGAAUUCACAUUCCAAUACAAAUUAUAUGACUCCUAGUACUAAAUAUUAUUAGGCUACUAUCCUCUAAACUGUAUUCCCCUCUAAACCAUGCAUAGUGGCGGUGAGUAGCAGUCCAAAACGAUUAGUUCUGAAAAAAAAAUAUACCAAAAUUUUAAAGUCAGACGAAUGUGUAAUUUAAAUCGAAAAUGAAUUUUAUCCUUGAGUUAUUUAUAUUUUUAUUUUUAAAUUAUACAAAUAUUUAAAGACAUAAAAAUCAAUCAAUAUUUUGGAGAUAUUUUAGUCGUUCAAUAUUUAGCAUAAAUUAUUCGUGCUUUUAUAAUAACUAGUUUUUAGUGUACGUGCGUUGCACGUGUCUAUCGUGUUAAUCAAUAAUAAUAUAUACAAAAAGAACAAAUUUAUUCUGCAUGUACUCCGUACAUCCUAUAAUCUAGGUAAAUCUAUCUCUGUUUCAGUAAUCUUCGUAGGUCGUCAGCUAGGCACUCCCAAUUUAAUCCCUUUUUUUGAGUCUUAUGUUUCUUCUCAUCUCAAAGAUUUUCAUUUAAUUCUAACUUAUGUACCACAUGAGAAAGUAGGAACACUCUAAGAGAACUCAUUCCACCUAAUCCCUUCCUAAAUAAUAAUUAUUUAUGGAUUACAUAAUUAUAUAUAUAGAUCAAAGUAAAAAUAUAACAUUUCAAAAUUUAACAUGUAAAUAUAAAAGUUUUAAAAAAAAAGAAGGAAAAAAGGAUUCUACGUUUUUGUUUGACAAAGUUGCCGAAAAAUUACCCAUAACAAAAGUAGUUAAGUAUUUUCUUUUAAUGUAUUGUCCUUUUCUAUUUAUGUAUAGGAAAAAUUAGAAUUUAAAAUAAUUUGAUUCCUUCUUGAAAUAUAUAUUUUCUUUUAAUUAACUUAUGAUUUUAGGAAUUGAAGACAUUUUAGUUUCUUCUCUAAAACAUACUUUUCUCAUUUAUUUAUGGUGUAAAUUUUAGGAAUGUGUUUUUCACUUUUCUAAAUCAAGGUCCUAAAUUGAAAAGUAAUUAAAUGAGUAUUUUUAAAUAUUAGGAAAGUAAAUUGAAUGAUUAAUACUAUAUAUAAGAAGAUAAUUAAAUGACUAUUUUGUUUAGUGUGAACUCUAUUUUAAAGGGGUAAAAAAGACGAACAAUAUUUCGCUAAGGGCCUUCGUGCUUUUAAUAUAAUAUAGAUAGAUAUUGAUAUGGCCAAAUACCUAUGCAGCCCCUUAAACUUGGCUCCAAUUUUUAUUUUAACACUUUAACAAAGACCAGUACCUAUUGAACACUUAAACCUUAUCUUACUUAUGCCUAUUAAAUACAACAACUGAUAUGGCCAAAAAAAAGUGUAUUUCACCACUCUUAAAGUGCGCGAAUGGAUCUGAAAUUAUUUUUUUUCUUUUUUAUUUAAAUUAAACUUCUUUUUCUAAAGCAACCGUAUCAUCGCCUUAUUAACUCCAUUACUGCUGCUCAUCCGUCAUUAGUGCCACCAUUCUCUUUCGUUCUUCUUUUUCCUCACACCAUCCUCCACCCUUCCCCUUCUUCCUCCUCCCUACCCACCACUGCCACACCUCUCUCGAUCCUUUCCCUUCCCUCCUUACAUGAAAUAAAGAGAAAAUGAGAUUUAAAAAUCCAGAGACAGAGAACACGUUGACUUAGGAGGUUGAAUUGAUGAGAUAAUUAAAAUUGAUCAGAAAUUAGAUCAAAAAAAAUUGGUGAAGUAUGAGCUUGACGAAGAAGAGGGCGAUAGAAAAUUUUCCGACCAUGAAGCUCUGCAAAUUUUCCAAGAACUUCAAAUUAUUUUUUGUCUUCAAAUAUUUGUUUUUUAGUCAAUGGAACCAACCUCAUACAUCGUCAAUAUGCUGUAGAGCUUGAAAGAGAUCAGAUUCUAUAGAAGACUCUCCCCAAUACUCGCGUUUAAACAGAUGGAAUGAAACCCAUUUCUCUUUCUCAUUUUUUCUUUCUAGAUUUUUUACUUUUCUUUUUCUCUGCUGACUUGUCUUUUUCUUAUUAGUGUCAUUUGUUAGGUUAAUGGCAAGUAGCUUUAUGCGUUGAAAUCUGUUUAAGGUUAUAAAAAAUGUGUUUCAUAGGUAAAAGUAAGAUAAGGUUUAAGUGUUUAAUAGGUAAUAGCCUGAGUUAAAAUGUCAAAAUAAAAACUGAAUCCAACUAUAAAGGGCGUAUUGGUAUUUGACCUAUAGAUAUAGAUAGAUUAUUUGUACGAUAAUUCUUAUUCAGGAAGUUGAUUAAAUUUUGGACAGCUAAAACGUAGCGCAUUGAUAUAGUAUAUAUCAAGAAAGGUACGCUUUUGGUAUAUUUCAACAAGAAGACUGAUUUGCACGUCUUUUUGAGUUACGUACAAUUGUUAGGUAAGCAACUUUAUUCUAUUGUGGUUACACGUAUCCAUCUUUCUUCUUCUUCUUUUUAAAAAAAUACGAUUGCAACUAUAUCUUCUUACUCUUUUAAAUUUCUUGCCCAACUCAACUUUUUCAGCUACCAGGCUACCAGCAUAUAUAAAUUGUGUUCUUGACACAGUCGACUCUCUAAGAAUGCCUGUCUAACGUGAGAAUUAAGACUUUUCAUGGCCAUUAUAUGAAGUUGAAAGGCAGGAAAGACCAAGACAAGUAAGAUUAGAUGACAUUUAUAGAAACCCAUGCUAGCUUAUCAUUAUUAACUUCUACUAUAUUAGUCUUUAAUUUCUAUCUAAGCAAAAAGAGAAUUUUCUAUAAUCAUUUAAUUUGAAGGGUUGAAUAAUUGAAUACCAGCUGAAUCUGAUUGCCCAAUACAAAUUUUAGAAUGAAGGAAAAUUCUGAGAUAUCUUUUCAUUUUCAUAGUGAUUUUUUUUUCAUUUAUAAUUAUUGCCUCAUCUCAAAUUAUAUAAAUUUUUCCAGCAAGCCGAUAAGUUAGAAAUACAUUGCAUAUAACAUGUGGUUUAAAAUAUAAUGUCAUUGCUUAUGUCUGUCACAAGUAGGGGUUCAAGCAAGAAAAGGGCCGUCGGCAAGUGCACAGAUAGCUAUUCUCAGGAUGCUAUAGAAAUUAACCAAUACUUAUUUUGUCCUGAAAUUUUAAAUUAAAAAUUUCAACUUUAUAACUGUCCCGAAAAAUUAAACCGAAAAACUAAAAUUCUAAAUACACUAGCUAAUUCUUAAAUUUUUAAAUAGUAGCCCUUUAAAGUGGCUGGUGUCAUUUCUAUAGAAAAGUCUUAUGGCUCAUCCAUGUAAGACAGGUAGAGACGAGGAAAGGCAUAUUAUUCAAUGAAAUACUUCGAUUAGUGGAAAAAUAAGCAUAGUUCCACAGAUUCUCGAAUGAGAUGUCAUGAUCUUCUCAAGAAUAUACGGUCAAGACUGAAGAAAAUUAACUCAAGAUUUAAGUUUAUUGUCACUAAAUUGAACGAGGAGAGGAUAUAAUUAACUAUAAUUAACCACUUGAGUACAUCAAGAUGGAUAAUCAUCAUCCUCAACUUAAGUAGUACAAUAACUUUUUGAGCAAAAUAAAACUUUCCCUCAUCAUAAAAUGAAACUUCUUUCUUUCUUUCUCAAUAAGCAAAGAUAAUUAGAUUAAUUAGGGAUGCAAGCAAACAAUAUUUUUCCUUAC
rnacentral:lncRNA from 1 species